CAGGAACAUAGAGAACAAUCUGUUUUCUGGAAUUAUUCCCCCUGAGCUUGGGAAUUUGGUUAACCUGGAGAAUCUUAUUCUUAGUGCUAACAAUCUCACUGGAGAGUUGCCAAAAGCUCUCACUAAUCUAACCAAAUUAAUGGAACUUAGGAUUAGCAGUAACAACUUCACUGGAAGAAUACCUGACUUCUUUCAAAGUUGGAAACAACUUCAUAAAUUAGAGAUUCAAGCUAGUGGUCUUGAGGGGCCCAUUCCUUCUAGCAUUUCUAUCCUGAGUAGUUUAACCGAGCUGUAAGUUCUGCCUUCGAAAUACACUUGAGUUGCAUAAUCUAUUUCGCAUCUUCAUGUGAUACUCAAAUUAACAAGACUUGUUGCUUAAGACACUAACAGUUAUUAAUAAUGCAAUUUAGUGCAGA